rnacentral:piRNA from 1 species
CAGGGAAACCGUCUCUACGUGCAUGCC